UACGAAGGGGGCUAGCGUUGCUCGGAAUCACUGGGCGUAAAGGGUGCGUAGGCGGCUUGGCAAGUCGGAUGUGAAAACUCCAGGCUCAACCUGGAGCCGCCAUUCGAUACUGCUAUGGCUAGAGUCCGGUAGGGGAGUGUGGAAUUCCCGGUGUAGCGGUGAAAUGCGCAGAUAUCGGGAGGAACACCGAUGGCGAAGGCAGCACUCUGGGCCGGCACUGACGCUGAGGAGCGAAAGCGUGGGGAGCGAACAGG
rnacentral:rRNA from 1 species